ACGAACGCUGGCGGCGUGCUUAACACAUGCCAGUCGAACGGAAAGGCCCUGCUUUUGUGGGGUGCUCGAGUGGCGAACGGGUGAGUAACACGUGAGUAACCUGCCCUUGACUUUGGGAUAACUUCAGGAAACUGGGGCUAAUACCGGAUAGGAGCUCCUGCUGCAUGGUGGGGGUUGGAAAGUUUCGGCGGUUGGGGAUGGACUCGCGGCUUAUCAGCUUGUUGGUGGGGUAGUGGCCUACCAAGGCUUUGACGGGUAGCCGGCCUGAGAGGGUGACCGGCCACAUUGGGACGGAGAUACGGCCCAGACUCCUACGGGAGGCAGGAGUGGGGAAUAGUGCACAAUGGGCGGAAGCCUGAUGCAGCAACGCCGCGUGCGGGAUGACGGCCUGCGGGUUGUAAACCGCUUUCGCCUGUGACGAAGCGUGAGUGACGGUAAUGGGUAAAGAAGCACCGGCUAACUACGUG
rnacentral:rRNA from 1 species